GUGUCAGCCGCCGCGGUAAUACGUAGGAUCCGAGCGUUGUCCGGAAUUACUGGGCGUAAAGGGUGCGUAGGCGGCAAUGUGCGUCAGAGGUGAAAUCCACGGGCUUAACUUGUGGGGUGCCUUUGAUACGGCAUAGCUUGAGUACGAGAGAGGUCGAUGGAAUUCCUGGUGUAGCAGUGAAAUGCGUAGAUAUCAGGAGGAACACCGGUGGCGAAGGCGGUCGGCUGGCUCGUAACUGACGCUGAGGCACGAAAGCGUGGGGAUCAAACAGGAUUAGAUACCCUGGUAGUCCACGCCAUAAACGAUGUAUGCUUGGUGUUGGGUGAGUAAUCACUCAGUGCCGAAGGCAACCUGAUAAGCAUACCGCCUGGGGAGUACGAUCGCAAGGUUGAA
rnacentral:rRNA from 1 species